rnacentral:rRNA from 1 species
UAGGGAAUCUUCGGCAAUGGGGGCAACCCUGACCGAGCAACGCCGCGUGAGUGAAGAAGGUUUUCGGAUCGUAAAGCUCUGUUGUAAGUCAAGAACGAGUGUGAGAGUGGAAAGUUCACACUGUGACGGUAGCUUACCAGAAAGGGACGGCUAACUACGUGCCAGCAGCCGCGGUAAUACGUAGGUCCCGAGCGUUGUCCGGAUUUAUUGGGCGUAAAGCGAGCGCAGGCGGUUUGAUAAGUCUGAAGUUAAAGGCUGUGGCUCAACCAUAGUUCGCUUUGGAAACUGUCAAACUUGAGUGCAGAAGGGGAGAGUGGAAUUCCAUGUGUAGCGGUGAAAUGCGUAGAUAUAUGGAGGAACACCGGUGGCGAAAGCGGCUCUCUGGUCUGUAACUGACGCUGAGGCUCGAAAGCGUGGGGAGCGAACAGGAUUAGAUACCCUGGUAGUCCACGCCGUAAACGAUGGGUGCUAGGUGUUGGAUCCUUUCCGGGAUUCAGUGCCGCAGCUAACGCAUUAAGCACUCCGCCUGGGGAGUACGACCGCAAGGUUG